GAUGAAGAACGUAGCGAAAUGCGAUAAGUAAUGUGAAUUGCAGAAUUCAGUGAAUCAUCGAAUCUUUGAACGCACAUUGCGCCCGUCAGUAUUCUGGCGGGCAUGCCUGUUCGAGCGUCAUUACGCCCCUCAAGUCCCCUGUGGACUUGGUGUUGGGGAUCGGCGAGGCUGGUUUUCCAGCACAGCCGUCCCUUAAAUUAAUUGGCGGUCUCGCCGUGGCCCUCCUCUGCGCAGUAGUAAAACACUCGCAACAGGAGCCCGGCGCGGUCCACUGCCGUAAAACCCCCCAACUUUUUAUAGUUGACCUCGAAUCAAGUAGGACUACCCGCUGAACUUAAGCAUAUCAAUAAGCGGAGGA
rnacentral:misc_RNA from 1 species